AUAUAUACUUGGAUAGUGUCAUUGCAUGAUAAUUUUUGUUCCAGGAUUUAAUCUAGUGUCACUUUUGUUCUUUACAUAUGUAUCGAUAUAUGACCCGAGCUAGACAUUUGGGUUCUGUCGAACUCUGCUUCGUCUUAUUUAGAUCCGUCACUGGCGUAGGGAGCUCUAGUUUCCUCUCUUGCUCAAUAUAUGUGUCAUGCUAUCCUAUUUAGGCCUCAUUUGUUUGCACUUAAUGGAGGUCUUAAUCUUAAUCAUUCAGAUUCAGCCCAUUAAAUGCAUUUGUUUUUAGGGUCUGAAUUUUAAUUAUCCAGAUUCAGCCCAUUAAGUGCAUUUUUUUUCCUUAUAAAAUCUCUUAAUGAAUCUGAAUAGAUCUGAACAAAUCAGAUCUGUAAGAGAGUCUUAUUCCAUUCAGACUCAUUAAAUUAAUACGGUUAUUCACCUUUCACGCCUCUGUUUUCUCGGCAAAAAAAUCUUUCACGCCUUUCUUCUUUUCUCAGCACAAAUUUCCUCUUGAACUGAUGAACUUUCAUAAGCACUACAAGUAUAUUGUAUACUUAGAAUUUUUUUCCAUUCACAAUAUGUUUGGGUGUAUUGAUGUCUAUCAACCUACUGCCUAGUAUUGAGGUUUUUUGAUAAUAUAGUAUUAUACCAUUCUAUAGUUCUGGUUGAGAAAAUCAAACCCAUAGGAAAAGAUUAACGCACCAAUCACAGCAAGCAGGUCCUUUUCUAUGUGAUUUUGGCAUUUUGUGGUACUCUUUUCAAUUGGGUCUGUACUAUUAAAGCAGAGCAGGAAUAUUUUAUAGCAAGUUUGCAGAAAGUUUUGACCUUUUUAAGAAAAGAAAUAUCUUUGAACUGCAAAGUUUUGAAAAUUUGCUGGGAAUUUUAUGAGUUUUGUGCUCAAUUUUGAAGUUUUACAGAGUUGAAUUAACUGUUGAAGUUCGUUUUUUCAUCUUAAGUAGAGAAGGGUUCUGUGUUUUUCUCAUCUGGGUAAGAAUUCUUGAAAUUUUGUCAGCUUAGUUCUUGGUAACUAUGAAAAAUUAUCUACUACUUUUUAAAAUUGUAAGUGAACAAGAUUUUGUUUAGCUGCUUGAUUUUUUUUAAUUUAAAAGAUUAAGUUAUGUUGAAUUUAACCAAAAAAAAAAAAAUCAUGUUACCUUGUUAUAGUAGUUUUUAUACGGUAUAUAAAUUUUAGUUUGCAUUUCAGAUAGUUUAAAUUUUUUUAUCAAAUAUAAAUAUUCAAAAUACUAUUUUCUAUCAAAAAAUAUAAACUCACUGUAAUAUUUUAUUGAUAUAGUGUAAUUUUAACACGUACAUUCGUAUAUUGAAAACAAAAAAUCUUUAAUGAUUCGUGUUCAGAUAUAGAGACCACAUCUUAAUAUUCAGAUUUGCAUUCAGAUUUAGACAUCUAAAUCUUAAGACACAUCUUAAUAUUCAUAUGUGUAUUCAGAUUCAGACAUUUUAAUCUUAAUGAAAACAAAUGAGGCCUAGUCUAUCCCAGAAAUAUCAUACUUGCUUAUUUAAAAUAAUGUAACUUUAUAUUUUUUAUUUUAACCUUAAUGACAUGAUUUAUAAUCACACAAAUAUUUAUAAGUUGUUUUAGAACACAAAUUUCGAAAAAAUCUUUUUUAAACUUAUUGCAAUCACACAUUGUCACAUAAAUUGGGACUACCAUUUGUGGUUCGUGAACCCUGAAAAGGAAUUCCUGAUUCUGUCCAAAAGAAAGGAAUGCCUAAUUAUGUGUGAGGGGAAAAAAAAGGCUUUUAUUCGUAGUGUCCAUAUGUGGUUUAUUACUUUCGCGUGAGCACAUGCUCAUAUUAGGCAAAGUAUACAGCCUAACAAUGAUUUUAAAAUGCGAAUUCUUAACACUCUAAAACUUAAUUUAUUAUUGUCUACUACAUAGGGAUCAACCAAAGAAGCCAAGGUAGUAAUUAUUGUUUUAGUUUAAAGCAAUUUAUUUACUUUUUUUUUUUAGUCUGUUUCAAAAAGAAUGAUAUAUUUUCUUAUUUGGUAACAAUUUAACUUUAAACUUUAUCUUUCACGCUUAACGAGAUAAUCUAUAACUAUACAAAUAUCUUUAACUUCUUUUAGACCACAAGAUUCAAAAGUCUUCUUUUAUUUCUUAAACUUCGUGGCCAGUCAAACUAUAUCACAUAAAUUUAAAAAAAAAUUAUAAUGGUAGAGGCACAAGUAUGACAUGGUGUGUGAGGGAGUUUUUAAUUAAUAUUUUAAUGUGGAAUCCACCACUUUUUGCUCCCUCUCUCUCGCCCUUUCUCUUCCGUCUUCUCUCUCCUCUUUCCUCUUUUUUUUUUUUCUUUUUCUUUUCUUAUUACGUCUUCACUCUCCUUUCUCUCUUUUCUUUCCUCUUUUUUUUUUUCUUUUUUUUUUUUUUUCUCAUUUUUUGUUUUCAUCAAUUUUAAAACUAUUUCUGUUAUACUCAUUAGCAAAAAAAUUUAAGAUAUUCUCGAUUUCAUUAUCUGUUUUUCAAUUUUAUCUUAAAAAUUCAGUUAAACUCCAAAUAAACAUAAAAGAAAAUAAUUGGCAUUAGAAAAAAAAUUAAAUAUAAAAAUUGAUUGCUAAAAAUGAACUUAGGAUACUUCUAAAAGUAAAAACACCUUGAAAAUUUAUUAGACUUCUUUUUUCUUUUUUUUUUUUUUUACUUUUCUUUUGGUACAUAUUCAAUUCAGAGUUUCUACAUUAUGUACCCUCGAAAUCCAAAAUUUUAAGUGUCAUCAAAGUAAAUCCUAAAUCUAGGAGUAUUAAAAGUUGGUUUGACCGAUAAACUUAACCAAAAAAAUUGUUAUGGGAUAACCGAUAUCAAGUUAUUGGGUAAUGAUUUUUGAUAAUUUUGUAAUUUUUUUCCUUGACUGCCAGUUCGAUUUUCGAUUUUUAAAUUUACAUUAACGGUUAAACCGAUAACCAAAGGUCUUAUUAAAAUUACAUUCUUAAGUAUAUUUCAGUGAAAUUUCUCUGUGAAAGAUGUGGAAGGCCAAACCAAUUGUGAUUGAAGAUUUUGCUGGUUUAGUUUACCGGUUAAACUUAUUUUUAAUACUCUUAGAUUUAGGAUAUACUUUGAUGACACUUAAAAUUUUGGAUUUCUAGGGUGCAAAAUGUAGAAACUUUGAAUUGAAUAUAUACCAAAAGAAAAAGUGAAAAAAGGAAGUCCAAUAAAUUUCUCGUGGGGUUAUUACUUUCAGAAGUAUUCUAAGUUCAUUUUUAGCUAUUAAAAUUAAAUUAAAUUUUUUUCAACUGUCAAUUACUUUCUUUUAAACUUGUUCGGAAUUCAACUGAAUUUUUAAAAUAAAAUUGACAAACUAGAUAAUGAAAUCGAGAAUAUCUAAAUUUUGUUUGCUAAUGUGUAAAAUAGAAAUAGUUUUAAAAUUGAUGGAGAAAAAAAAAGGAAAGAGGAGAGUGAAGACGUAAGUAAAAGAAAAAAAGAAAGGACAGAGGAAAGAGGAGAGGUUGAGAUGGGUGAGAGGGAGCAAAAAGUGGGGGUUCCACAUAUAACUAUCAAUUAAAAAUUUCCUUACAUACCAUGUCAUACUUGUGCCUCUACCAUUGUAAAUUUUUUUCAUAAAUUGGGACGGAAGAAGUACUAUUAUAGCAAACGUCCAUUUCAUGAUAAUUAACUAACAAAAAUUACCGUUUUUUUAAUUUCUAUUUCUGUAAAUGGGGGCUUGGGAUGGGGAAAAUACCAUUGCUGCUGGAUACAUUUUUGGCAUCUACUAUCUAGGGGUAUGAGGUAGAAAACAACUCGACGUUACAUCAUUAUUUCUACACGUUUCGCCAAUUGUAGCAGUUUUUUGAAAUGUCGACCGAAAACGACUGAUUCAGAAAUCCAAUAUCUAGAUCUUCAAUCGACUUUUGUCCAAUACAAACUAUGUGGAACUGUUUUUGUCAUUUUCUUUCUCACAGGCUGAAAAAAAGAUUACUCCCUUCGUCCCAAAAUAAAUGUGACCUUAGCAAAAAUCAUACUCAUUAAGAAUUCAAUAAGUACAAUAUAGAGUUUACUAAACUAUCCCUUUUUAUUAGAUUUUU